GAUGAACGCUGGCGGCGUGCCUAAUACAUGCAAGUCGAGCGAACAGACGAGGAGCUUGCUCCUCUGACGUUAGCGGCGGACGGGUGAGUAAAACGUGGGUAACCUACCUAUAAGACUGGGAUAAAUUCGGGAAACCGGAGCUAAUACCGGAUAAUAUAUUUAACCGCAUGGUUCAAUAGUGAAAGACGGUUUUGCUGUCACUUAUAGAUGGAUCCGCGCCGCAUUAGCUAGUUGGUAAGGUAACGGCUUACCAAGGCAACGAUGCGUAGCCGACCUGAGAGGGUGAUCGGCCACACUGGAACUGAGACACGGUCCAGACUCCUACGGGAGGCAGCAGUAGGGAAUCUUCCGCAAUGGGCGAAAGCUUGACGGAGCAACGCCGCGUGAGUGAUGAAGGUCUUCGGAUCGUAAAACUCUGUUAUUAGGGAAGAACAAAUGUGUAAGUAACUAUGCACGUCUUGACGGUACCUAAUCAGAAAGCCACGGCUAACUACGUG
rnacentral:rRNA from 1 species